UUGGAGGGCAAGUCUGGUGCCAGCAGCCGCGGUAAUUCCAGCUCCAAUAGCGUAUAUUAAAGUUGUUGCAGUUAAAAAGCUCGUAGUUGAAUUUCGAGACCGGCUUACUGGUCGUGCUAUUGUGCGUACUGGUAUAAUCGGUUUCUCCUUUCUGACGAACUAUAAUGCCAUUAAUUUGGUGUUAUAGGGAAUCAGGUCUGUUACUUUGAAAAAAUUAGAGUGUUUAAAGCAGGCUCACGCUUGAAUACAUUAGCAUGGAAUAACGGAAUAGGACGUUUGAUUCUAUUUUGUUGGUUUCUAGGAUCGACGUAAUGAUUAAUAGGGAUAGUUGGGGGCAUUAGUAUUCAAUUGUCAGAGGUGAAAUUCUUGGAUUUAUUGAAGACUAACUACUGCGAAAGCAUUUGCCAAGGAUGUUUUCAUUAAUCAAGAACGAAAGUUAGGGGAUCGAAGACGAUCAGAUACCGUCGUAGUCUUAACCAUAAACUAUGCCGACUAGGGAUCGGAUGAUGUUAAUUUUUUAAUGACUCAUUCGGCGCCUUACGGGAAACCAAAGUGUUUGGGUUC
rnacentral:rRNA from 1 species